GACGGAGGAUGCAAGCGUUAUCCGGAAUGAUUGGGCGUAAAGCGUCCGCAGGUGGCAGUUCAAGUCUGCUGUCAAAGACCGGGGCUUUAACUUCGGAAAGGCAGUGGAAACUGAACAGCUAGAGUAUGGUAGGGGCAGAGGGAAUUCCUGGUGUAGCGGUGAAAUGCGUAGAGAUCAGGAAGAACAUCGGUGGCGAAGGCGCUCUGCUGGACCAUAACUGACACUCAGGGACGAAAGCUAGGGGAGCGAACAGG
rnacentral:rRNA from 1 species